rnacentral:sRNA from 1 species
GCAACGUGCAACGGCUCCGAGUUAAGACCUGUCUUUGGACACACCGAGGGUUGCUUCGGCUGACACGUCGGUCACACCAUGGGUUGUUGCCCAAGAGCAGGGUAGGCUUACUCGGAGGGGCGCCUGCCACGGUUGGGCGAUGACUGGGGAGUCGUACAGGUAGCGUUCGAGGUGCGGCUGAUCACUCUUUUGAGCAUGACGUCAUCGUCUGCGGGGCGUCCUCACAAAUUACUGCAUUCAGAGAUUCAUACCGGCACAGGUCGGUAUGCGAAGUCCCUUUUGGGGCUUAGCUCAGCUGGGAGAAGCACCUGCUUUGCAAGCAGGGGGUCGUCGGUUCGAUCCCGACAGGCUCCACCAUAUUGAGUGAAAAGACUUCGGGUCUGUAGCUCAGGUGGUUAGAGCGCACCCAUGAUAAGGGUGAGGUCGGUAGUUCGAGUCUACCCAGACCCACCACUCUGAAUGUAGUGCACACUUAAGAAUUUAUAUGGAUCAGCGUUGAGGCUGAUACAUGUUCUUUUAUAACUUGUGACGUAGCGAGCGUGUGAGAUAUCUAUCUAAACGUGUCGUUGAGGCUAAGGCGGGGACUUCGAGUCCCUAAAUAAUUGAGUCGUAUGUUCGCGUUGGUGGCUUUGUACCCCACACAACACGGCAUGUAGCUCCGAGGCAACUUGGGGUUAUAUGGUCAAGCGAAUAAGCGCACACGGUGGAUGCCUAGGCGGUCAGAGGCGAUGAAGGACGUGGUAGCCUGCGAAAAGUGUCGGGGAGCUGGCAACAAGCUUUGAUCCGGCAAUGUCGAGUCGAAUGGGAAACCCAUGUUCGGCAGUAUCCUCAGGAAUUUAAGGGGCGGAAGGAACCGUUAAAGGAUAUUAAGUGUAGACCGAGGAGUCUCCGAGAUUCCCUAAGUAGUGACGAGCGAACGGGGAGCAGCCCUUAAGCUGGAAUGGCUUUAGAAAAACAAUCUGGAAAGAUUGGCCAUAGAAGGUGAUAGCCCUGUAUUUAAAAGGGCCACUCCAGUGAAGACGAGUAGGGCGGGGCACGUGAAACCCUGUCUGAAUAUGGGGGGACCAUCCUCCAAGGCUAAAUAUCCGACCGACCGAUAGUAACACUGCUU